GUAUUUUUAGUAGAGAUGGGGUUUCUCCAUGUUGGUUAGGCUGGUCUUGAACUCCCGACCUCAGCUGAUCCACCUGCCUCAGCCUCCCAAAGUGCUGGGAUUAUAGGCAUGAGCCACCCCGCCCGACUGGAAGUUUCUAAUGACAUUUUAUGUUUACUAAAAGGUUGCAUGAGGCCGGGCGCGGUGGCUCAUGUGUGUAAUUCCAGCACUUUGGGAGCCCAAGGUAGGCAGAUCACCUGAGGUCAGGAGUUUGAGACCAGCCUGGCCAACAUGGAGAAAUGCCAUCUCUACUGAAAAUACAAAAAGCCAGCCGGGAGUGAGGGCGCACACCUGUAUCCCAGUUACUCGGGAGGCUGAGACAGGAGAAUAGCUUGAACCCAGGAGCUGAGAUUGCAUCACUGCACUCCAGCCUGGGUGACAGAGCGAGACUCUGUCUUAAAAAAAAAAAAAAAAAAAAAAGGUUGCAUGAAUUAGGGAAGGUUGAAAUUUAUACUAAAGUGGGGAGAUGUAGUCGGAAGUUCUUUCAGCAGAAACCUCCCACAUGGGACGCGUGGCUGCAGAUUGGCAUCCCGGGGUUGCUGUGGGUAGGGCAGGCAGGAGUACCAAGGAGGGAAACUAUGAGGGGGGUGUGGCCCUCUCCUUUACAGUCUGGCUGUGCUCUGCUCAUCUUUCCCAGGGACAUGCAGGAAUGGUGGAGAGGAGCCCUUUGUCCCGUCGUUCUCCAGUCUUGGAGAACAGGGGUCUAGAUCCAAUGCUGGAAUUUUCCCAACUGCUGGUUAGACAGCUUAAUGGGUUGAGUGGGGACUAGGUUUUAAUUAUUUUUGAGGUUCUGAACUUGACAGUGGAGCCCAAAGGCAUUCCUGCUGUGGCAUGGGGUACUGGGAUUGGUUAACUCUGGUGGAGAGGCAGGGUUGGCUGAGCAGAAGGGGUAUGAAGGAUGGGUCUUGGUUUGUCAAUGGCCUACUGUGUGAGUUUAGGAAGAUUCCUCAACCUUUCUGUGGCAUGGUUUCCAUAGUGGGUAGAAGGAGGAGGGAUAAUUUCUUUGAGGUCUUUCUAGAGUCUGUUAAUGGCUGGGGCCAAUCAUCGUGGUGAAUCACCUAAGACCGAGGGAGGAGUGGCCCAGGGGUGGGAACUGUCUGCCUGUGGGCCCCGUCACCCCUAGUCUGGUCCAAAGAGUUCCUGCCAGGCUUUCUCAGAGGGUCCUGGACUCAGUCCCCUGGGGCAGGCCCGGAGAGGCUGGAGACCAACUCUCCUGCCAAUGUCGCUUGGCCAGGGAACACAUGAAGGGGUGGGCAAUAGGAGCUCUCUGGAGCCUGCACUCCUCCCUGGCUCCUGGGUCCCAGCCCCAGAGUAGGAAGGAGGGAGAGAGGGCCAGUCUUUGUGUACUUUACAGAUCACAGCUGCCUUGAGCAAACGAUGCUAGCUACCCACCCAGCUCGGUGAUUCCACCAAAUACAAACAGCUGCCUAGCCUGGCCACCUCCUAGGCAAACAACCCAGCUGGUUUGCAGGGCAACAAGGUCAGGCAGUCCCCCUCAGCCUGGGGCCUGGCCAACAGCAGCUCCCCCUCUGCGAGGGUGCAGGGGCCCAUUUCCUGCCACAAGCCCACACAGGACGCCUAUCUCAACGGCUCUGGGCGGAUGACUUGCAGGGUGGCUUCCCCCGAAACACGGGGGUGGAGGCUGAGGCUCCCAGCAAGGGUGAGCCCUGGUGUCGGGGAGGAAACCGAGGCCCAGAAAGAGGCAGGUCUCCUUCAAGGCCGUGCAGCGGAAUCCAGGACAGCCCUCAUUCCAUUCCCAACCCUGCAGAGGAAGAGUGGAAGCUCUAGGCUCCCUCAGCAAUUCUUUCAGUGUCUGGUACCCGCUCACUCCAAGCACACAGAUGGAAGGCGACAGCCCAGUCCACUGCUGCCUAUACCUAUUUCCAUACAGGACACCCCUGUAGAGGGAGCAAGCCCCAGAGAGCAGCCCUGGAUUGCUCUCAAGUGCGGGAUGCGAAAGACCAACAACUGAGAUCUUUCACAGAGGACGUCCUCUCCGAGUCUCCGGGCGGUCCCCAUCUCCCAGCACUUCCCAGCCUGAGUCCCCAGAGUUGCGCGCUUAACCAUCACCAAGAAGCAUGGGCUCCCGGGGACUUACAUUUGCCACAGUGUGGCAGAAGAGAACUGAGUUGGGGCCGGCGCGGGGAUGACUCAGUCUUUGCGAUCUUCUGCGACCCGCCCACACCGAGCCAGCAGAGACCCCUGGAGCUUGGGACGGCCCCAGGGGCUGUGUCCUGACCCUCUCUCCCUCCCUCCUCUGGGAGACCCAGCCGCCUGAGGGAAAGGGCUGAAUCCAACCCAGACGCAGCCAGGAAGGGGCUAGCGCCGAGGAGGGCGGGGGUCUCACGGAAGAGGCCCACCCACCUUGCCCGUGAAGUCGAAGCUCGGACUGAAGGGCGGGGAGCGCUCGGGGGCCUCGCCAUCCCGGGUGGCAGCGGCGCCUGGCGUGCCCGUCAUGUCCCUGGACCAGAGGUGAGCAGUGCCGGCCCGCAGGCGAAGGAGAGCUCAGGAACCGAUCCGCCCCGGCCCCGCCCACUCCCCCCUCCCUCGACUCGGACCCUGCAGGCUCCUCCCUCCUUCCCGCCGCCCCCUCGACGACAGCGGCUCGGAGCUUGCUGUUCCCUGAGGGCGCGCACAGCCACAGAGUCCGCGCCAAGCGGCGGGCAGCCUCCCUGAGCAACCCUGGCCCGGCUCCGUGCGCUUAGGGCGUGGGCCACAUCCAGCCCCGGGACCGGUCCCCUGUGGUCGCUUAGUUGCCCCCGGGGGAGCAGGCCGCGGAGACCCCGUUUGCUGCAGAAAAGUUCCCGUAAUCGCUGCGCUGCGCGACAGCAGGCGGCGCCCGAGCCCCAGGCCGUGGGCGGUCCCCAGGUGGCGAGGCGGAGAGCUGGGGACCCCUGGGCUGCGCCUCCGCGGUUGGCGCCGAGACAGUUCCGCUUCAUCUAAGGCACCCGGCCCAAGCUCAUCUGAAUAUAGUUUUGUUUACCAACCCAUACUCGCCUUGCAGCACAUGUGUGCUGCGGUGUUUGGGAACUCUGUCUGGUGCUGGGACUUUGACCCUUUAGUAUGGAUCACCUCUCGUUUCCCCUGGCCUGUUGGGCUGUGUCCAGAAUGUCCCACCAGGGUAGAGCUUUCGCAAGAGGGCUGCGCAGCACACAUCUCCUAGUGGACCGCUCCUGAAGGCGGGGCCGGCCUUAUUAACCCAUGACACUCACCCUGGCCCCGAGGAGGAGCCAAAUAAAUUCAUGAAGUCGUGGAUCAUUUUGAGCAGAGCCGCCAGGAUAUCCCAGGCACCCGGCAGCUCCUGGUGACAGAAGGGUGAGGAGUUUCCAUCAAUUUUCAUCAUAGGAAAUAGUCCUGUCUUCUCAGGACCUUUUCUGGCUCACCGAGGUCUAGGGGUGCAUACCAGUUCAUGAUAGGAAACAGUCCAGUCUUCUCGGGACCUUUUCCGGCUUACCGAGGUCAGAUUCAGCUGAACCUUGGCUCGGGGCGGGGCAGGAUGAUCCUCUCAUAUCGGUCUUCGUCUUUGUUUGUUUUUUUUUGUU